ACGAACCGUGCGAACGUUGUUCGGAAUCACUGGGCUUAAAGGGCGCGUAGGCGGACAAGCAAGUCGAAGGUGAAAUCCCACGGCUCGACCGUGGCAGUGCCCCCGAUACUGCUUGUCUGGAGGGAGAUAGGGGCGUGCGGAACUUCCGGUGGAGCGGUGAAAUGCGUAGAUAUCGGAAGGAACACCGGUGGCGAAAGCGGCGCGCUGGAUCUCUACUGACGCUGAGGCGCGAAAGCCAGGGGAGCAAACGGGA
rnacentral:rRNA from 1 species